GGCAUGGUUGUCGUCAGCUCGUGUCGUGAGAUGUUGGUUAAGUCCGCAACGAGCGCAACCCCUAUUGUUAGUUGCCAUCAUUCAGUUGGGCACUCUAGCGAGACUGCCGGUAAUAAACCGGAGGAAGGUGGGGAUGACGUCAAAUCAUCAUGCCCCUUAUGACCUGGGCUACACACGUGCUACAAUGGUUGGUACAACGAGUUGCGAGUCGGUGACGGCGAGCUAAUCUCUUAAAGCCAAUCUCAGUUCGGAUUGUAGGCUGCAACUCGCCUACAUGAAGUCGGAAUCGCUAGUAAUCGCGGAUCAGCACGCCGCGGUGAAUACGUUCCCGGGCCUU
rnacentral:rRNA from 1 species